rnacentral:lncRNA from 1 species
UUAUCAAUCCAGAUAGUGAAGUUUAUUUUAAUGACCUCAACAGUCAACACCCCCUCUUCCAGUAUCCCUAAAACAACAACCACAUAAAAUUAUUUUUACAUGGAAAAUACAUGAAAAGUGGAUCACAAAGGCAGAGGAGGAAACAAUACAAGACUCGGUAACUCACUUGACCAAGAAUAUUUUCUAGGAAGGACUUCAUCAUACCACGUAGGACACUGUUUAUUGCUGCCAUCAAGUAAUGCCUACAUAGUAUAUUUUAU